rnacentral:rRNA from 1 species
GACGAACGCUGGCGGCGUGCUUAACACAUGCAAGUCGAGCGGUAAGGCCCUUUCGGGGGUACACGAGCGGCGAACGGGUGAGUAACACGUGGGUGACCUGCCUUUAGCUCUGGGAUAAGCCUGGGAAACCGGGUCUAAUACCGGAUAUGACUCCGCGGCGCAUGUUGUGGGGUGGAAAGCCUUGUGCGGCUGGAGAUGGGCCCGCGGCCUAUCAGCUUGUUGGUGGGGUGAUGGCCUACCAAGGCGACGACGGGUAGCCGGCCUGAGAGGGCGACCGGCCACACUGGGACUGAGACACGGCCCAGACUCCUACGGGAGGCAGCAGUGGGGAAUCUUGCGCAAUGGGCGAAAAGCCUGACGCAGCGACGCCGCGUGAGGGAUGACGGCCU